rnacentral:rRNA from 1 species
ACGGGAGGCAGCAGUGAGGAAUAUUGGUCAAUGGGCGGAAGCCUGAACCAGCCAAGUCGCGUGAAGGAUGAAGGUAUUAUGUAUUGUAAACUUCUUUAGCAGCAGAGUAAUAAGGGAGUCGAGACUCCUGAUGCAAGUAUGCUGAAAAUAAGCAUCGGCUAACUCCGUGCCAGCAGCCGCGGUAAUACGGAGGAUGCGAGCGUUAUCCGGAUUUAUUGGGUUUAAAGGGUGCGUAGGCGGCCUCUUAAGUCGGCGGUGAAAUUUCCGGGCUCAACCCGGUCACUGCCGUCGAAACUGGGGGGCUUGAGUGCGUUUGGGGUGGCUGGAAUGUGCGGUGUAGCGGUGAAAUGCAUAGAUAUCGCACAGAACGCCGAUCGCGGAGGCAGGUCACCAAGCCGCAACUGACGCUGAGGCACGAAAGCGCGGGGAUCGAACAGGAUUAGAUACCCUGGUA